rnacentral:lncRNA from 1 species
UUUUGUUCCUUUAAUGAAGUUUUUGAAUUUGUUGAAAUUUUUGGGUUCUAGUUAUAAUUACAUGAAGUAAUGGACUUUUGUGUUUUUGCAAAAUGAGCUCAAAAGUUUAAGUUUUGCAACAUAGCCCAAAAAGUUGAGGUUAUUGCAUUUUGGCCCAAAUUAGGUUGAGAACAAAAUGGUUUUGUCUCUUUAAAUGAGAAUUGAAUUUUCAUUUCAUUUAGCUCCAUUUAAAUCAAUUCUAUGGAUACAAAAACCAAAUGACAAUGUUGCAUUCAAAGUUUAAUUAGUUAAAGCGUUAAUUAAUUAAAGAAAGGGUGAUUAUGAACCUAAGCCUACGAUAAUUGAGCUAUGUGAAAGGCCGUCUCAAAUUUGUUUGAACCAUGGGAAUGUGUAGAUUAGAUUUUGGUUGUAAUUUGAUAUGAUCAAAUGUUGUAAAAGAGUAUAAGCUCUUCUUUACUUUGAAGUACUCCCUUUCUUGUUUUAUUUGAUAUGCAUGAAAUUGGAGUAGUUGGGUCCAACGCCCAAUAGGAAAAACACGCCUUAAUAUGAUUAAACGCGUAACUAAAAUCAAUCACCAUCCCUAGACCGAGAUUCAAUACUAGGCUCGUGUUGGAUCUAAUCAAAGGUUUAUAGUCAUCCUAAGGCCCUAAGGCAACUAUAUAGUCCAUCAAUGAAUGCAAACCUUAUGUUAGUAGUACCAUAUACUCUUGCUUUAAAAACCAUUUUACAAGCUUAGUGGGAGUAUUAUAUACUACUAAAUCAAUCACAUGGACCAAUAGUUGUAAUAGGACCAAAUUGUUUUAAUAAGAUUAAAAUGAAUGUUUAUAUAUAUGAUGAGACCUAAAACCCUCAACCAAACCAUUAUUAAGUUGAUAAGCGUGAGAGUGCUUUGAACACUCUUUCUUGGCCUUCCACCGUGGUAGGCUCCAAUCGUUUGUGACUCGUACACCGACUUCACCCUAUCAUGGGGGAGUACAAAGUGCGUGCUUACACUCAGGAGGAAUCCUAUAUGCAUACAUGAUGUUGUGAAGGUAAGCAACGAGAAUAGCCAACAUCAUAUCAUUGUGAGGUUGUUCUUGAACCCCUACUCGAACUUGCAUGGUGGGAAUGACUUAACUAAGUGCAAUGGAGCCAACAUCAUAUCAUUGUGAGGCUUCAUUCUCUAGAGGCCAAAUAAGAUGGGUACUUGCAAGAGAUGCAAAUGAGUAAGUGUACUCUCUCAUUAUUAUUGAUGCUAGCCAACAUCAUAUCAUUGUGAGGUGGGCUUGGUAAUGAUGAGUCUCCUAUACCCUACUAAGAGUUUCCUCCAAAACUCUCGAAUUCCGAUGAUGGAUAUGGAAUUUGCCAAAAAUAGUGG